UCACCGGAGCUUGCUCCACCGAAAGAAAAAGAGUGGCGAACGGGUGAGUAACACGUGGGUAACCUGCCCAUCAGAAGGGGAUAACACUUGGAAACAGGUGCUAAUACCGUAUAACACUAUUUUCCGCAUGGAAGAAAGUUGAAAGGCGCUUUUGCGUCACUGAUGGAUGGACCCGCGGUGCAUUAGCUAGUUGGUGAGGUAACGGCUCACCAAGGCAACGAUGCAUAGCCGACCUGAGAGGGUGAUCGGCCACACUGGGACUGAGACACGGCCCAGACUCCUACGGGAGGCAGCAGUAGGGAAUCUUCGGCAAUGGACGAAAGUCUGACCGAGCAACGCCGCGUGAGUGAAGAAGGUUUUCGGAUCGUAAAACUCUGUUGUUAGAGAAGAACAAGGAUGAGAGUAAAAUGUUCAUCCCUUGACGGUAUCUAACCAGAAAGCCACGGCUAACUACGUGCCAGCAGCCGCGGUAAUACGUAGGUGGC
rnacentral:rRNA from 1 species